CCUCCUCCCUCUCCUCCUCUCUCGUCCUCCUCUCAGUUGGCCCUUUGACUCCUGGUCGGGACGGUAUAACAGUAGCCUACAGAGCGGUGACAGACGGUGGAUGGGGAAGGGCAGUUGCCGCAGCAGCAGCAGCAGCAGCAGUCGUCGGACGCACCGACCGAAGCAUGCUCCAGCGCAGCCAUGACUUGCUCGGCGUCAGAUAGCGAGAAGAUCGUGAUCAACUGCGGCGGGAUCCGACACGAGACUUACCGGAGCACACUGAAGACGCUACCGGGGACGCGCUUGUCUUGGCUGACCGAGCCCGACGCCUACAGCAACUUCGACUACGAUCCCAAGUCCGACGAGUUCUUCUUCGACCGCCACCCUGCCACCUUCGCCUUCAUCCUCAACUACUACCGCACCGGCAAGCUCCACUGCCCUAAUGAUGUGUGCGGGCCGCUCUUCGAGGAGGAGCUCGCCUUCUGGGGCAUUGAUGAGACGGACGUGGAGGCGUGCUGCUGGAUGAACUACCGACAGCACCGCGACGCCGAAGAAGCCCUGGACAGCUUCGAGACCCCCGAGCCGGACGCACCCGAGGAUGACCCGGCGCUCACCGGCGGAGCGGACGGUGACCUGAAGCGGCUGUGCAUGCAGGAGGACGGCCGCAGGGCGACGUGGUGGGAGGUGUGGCAGCCCAAUAUGUGGGCGCUGUUCGAGGACCCCUACUCCUCCAAAUACGCUCGGUAUGUGGCAUUCGGCUCGCUCUUCUUCAUCCUCCUCUCCAUCUCCACCUUCUGCCUGGAGACCCACGAAGCCUUCAACACCAUCUACAACAAAACGGAGAAUGUCACCGUUGGCAACAUGACGCAUGAGGAGAUAGUGUAUGAGGUAGUCACAGAUGGCUGGCUGACAUAUGUGGAGGGCGUCUGCGUCAUUUGGUUCACCAUUGAGGUGAUGCUGCGCGUCAUCUUCUGCCCUGACAAGGCAGAGUUCUUCCGCAGCGCCCUGAACAUCAUAGACUUUGUGGCCAUUGUGCCCUUUUACCUGGAGGUGGCGCUGAGCGGUCUCUCCUCCAAAACAGCCAAAGACGUGCUGAGCUUCCUACGUGUGGUGCGCUUUGUCCGUAUCUUGCGUAUAUUCAAGCUGACCCGCCACUUUGUCGGUUUACGGGUCCUGGGCCACACUCUGCGGGCGAGCACCAACGAGUUCCUGUUGCUCAUCAUCUUCCUGGCACUGGGCGUCCUCAUCUUUGCUACCAUGAUUUACUAUGCCGAACGCAUUGGUGCCGACCCAGACGAUCCGACGGCUGCGGCCCACACCAACUUCAAGAACAUCCCCAUUGGCUUCUGGUGGGCUGUGGUGACCAUGACCACGCUGGGCUACGGGGAUAUGUACCCUGAGACCUGGUCGGGAAUGCUGGUGGGUGCCCUCUGCGCCUUGGCCGGUGUCCUGACCAUUGCCAUGCCUGUGCCCGUCAUCGUCAACAACUUUGGCAUGUACUACUCCCUCGCCAUGGCCAAGCAGAAGCUCCCAAAGAAGAGGAACAAGCACAUCCCCCGAGCGCCACAACCAGGCAGCCCCAACUACUGCAAACCAGACGCCCUGGCCAUGGCAACUGCCUCACCGCACAGGCUGAUGGGCAAUGUGCUUGGGCCGGGCAUGGUGGGAUCUGGUAGCAUGAUGGCUACUGGAGACUGCCCACUGGCACAGGAGGAGAUCAUCGAGAUCAACAGGGCAGACUCCAAGCAGAACGGCGACGCGGCGACCAACGCAGCGGCCCUGGCCAACGAGGACUGCCCCACCAUUGACCAGGUCCUAGGGGAUGAGCGUAGCCCGGCCACUGGGGGUCUCGGCUCCACCACCAGCCGCGAGCGCUACCCGCAUGACCGUGCUUGCUUCCUGCUGAGCGCUGGGGAGUUCCAGCGCACAACGGACGGGAACGUUCGGAAAGUGCUGAGUUUCUAAAUCCCCUUUUCCCUACAAGAAGAGGAAAAAAAACUUUAAACUGCUGCUUCUUCAUCUCCCCCAACGGGAUUCACUGUAGAAAACGGAAGGGAGAUAGAGAGAAAGAGAAAAAAAGAAGAUGAGAGAGCAAACCACAGCAUGGAUGCUCCCAGUGUAGCAGCCAGACGGCCUGUGACAGACUUGGAUUUGGAAACCAUGUAACAAGGAUGCCGUCCAGUUCCACAACUGUUUGUAAUUUAGUUAUGUCAUUGCUUUACUGACCACUCUUUAUUUCAAGAAGCUGCAUUCACAACUGUUGAUUCCAUUGUUCCAUUAUUUUGGCACUCAAAGCACUAUGCAAGGUGAGGGGUGGUCCAUCGUGAUGUCUAAUUGCUCUGGCAGAGUCUUAUCCAGUGUUGCCGCUGGGCUGCACAGGCUGGGCUGCCCUGCUAAUCUCUGCUGAGCUACAGGACCUCUAACAGCAGACUGAAAUCUACUCAUACAUAUCAGAAAACAUCAGCCAUAUCACAUGUAUAUUUGACAUGAUCCUAUCUAUUUGAUAUCAUCUGAAUCUUCCGGGAGACAGUUGACAUCUUGGAACUCAGCAAAUGUCAAAGAGCCAGUUUUAAUCCAUCUUGUGAUGGAAUUAACCCAAAGACAGAAACAUGGAUGGACGUACCAGUUGGGGUGAUCAGACCCCCUCAAAGAUAUGAAACUGGCCCUAACAUGUGCUAAAAAACAAAAGGAGGCAUCACUGAAAACGAAGAUGUGAUUGAGCCUCUUUCUCUCUUUCUCACUCUCUCUGUUCCUCUCGAGUCUUUAUGGUAUCUUCACCACCUCCUACCCUGCAUCUCAGCAUCCCUGCUGCUCCUCCCCUUCAGCAAAACUGCAUGGCAUGAAUGAAACCAAUUAAAACCUGAAGAAAGACAGUCAAAGACACAAUGGAUGGAUUCAAAAAAACAGGGGAGAGAGAAGGGAAGGAGUACAUGAGAAAGGGGGAGAGAGAGCAUAGAUUUAUUUUUUCCACCCAGCAAUGUCAAUGCAAAGUCAUUAUUCAAGUUACUUUUUAACCUCCCAAACUGGCUGCUAAUAUGUACAAAACAGCAUCUCCUGCAGCAAACUACUCUCUCAGAAGGCAUGAUGGAUGAGGAGGAGCUCUCUCCCCCUCUGAGGGAAAGAGGGAGGGGGGAAGGAGAUUCUGCAGACCAUACACUCUAUACCUCUUGGAAUGUGGGGUAAGAAGAAAGAGGCUUUUUAAAGAAAGCAGGUAUUCAACAGGAGCGGGAGAACAUCUUUGAGUAACUAUCCUAGGGACAAAAAAAUGGCAAUGAUUGCAAAUUAGAAAUGCAUUUUUAUGACAUUGUUUACCAGCAUGAAUAUUCUGCAUGACUUCUGCAAGCCAUUCUGAUCUCCCCCAUGAAUAACAGGGCUAGAAAUUGAGCAUUUAAACAUGAAAAUUUAACAAGAAUUAUGUUAUAUGCAACAAUUUUUUUAAAUGUUUUCUCAGUUUUGUUUUUAAUGACAAAACAGAAAUAAUUAAGAAAAAAGGGUUGCACAUCAUCUACCCUGUUUUGUUUUCUUUAAGAAAUCUUAGGAGACACCCCCCCACCCCUAAAAUCCAAGAUGAUUCCUCCCAGCGUCUGCAAGUAUUUAUUCUGCUACUACAAUUUCGUCUACUACUACUACUACUAUUACUACUACUACUACUUCUCACCUGGCUGCUACUCUGCUUCUUCUUCCUCCUCCUCUUCUUCUUGUCUUUUUUCUUCCUCUGGUAGCCUUCUACCAGAACCCUUAUACGUAACUCUGUCCAAUGGCAGCUGUGUGUGUCUGUGUCACAAUCUGGACCCAGGACUAUCAAAGUAAUGUUGAACUGAACUGUGCUGUCCACGCCGAGAUGUCAUUGAUUCCAUGUAUUUGAACUGAAAAUCUCUGUUGUCCUUUUCCUUGGAACUUUUUCUUGACCUUGAUAUCCAAGGCAACACCACAGGUUAGAAAGGUCAUCUGAAGUCUGGUGUCAAGGAUAAGUCAGGAAAAGGUACAGGUGAAGUUUUUUACCCACACAGAGAUCCAGGAAGGUCUGUUUACUUCCUCAGGUGAAAAGAUAUAAGAUGGCUCCCUCAUCAUCCAGGGCUAUGUCUGAUUUGAAUGUAAUGUUUCUUUUCCCUAAGCAGCACUUUGCUUUUUUAGAGUCCCUUCAGUGUUAUCAGUUAGGGUUAGGGUUAGGGUUAAAAUUAAUUCCUGCUGUAUGGGGUCAGGGUUAGGAGUAGGGUUAGGGGUUAGAAGGAAUUCAUGUUAUAUGAGGUUAGGGUUAAAAUUAUGAAUUCAUACUGUAUGUACCCCUGAUGGAUGAACAAAUAUUGGGCCAUAGCCAGGAUUUCAGAAAUACAGAAAUCCAAAUUCCCCCACCUCAACCUAAGAACAUUUGGAGGGUCACCAAAAAUUCUGUGAGAUUUUCCAAACAUUCUAAAAGAGAGACAAGUCCCACAUUUUAUUUAUUCAUUUAACUUUUCAGUUAUAUUAAAUUUAAUGUUAUAUCCUUACAUUAUGGUCUAGUGUCAGGUAUGUAAUACAAUAUCCCUUUUAUUUCUAUUUAACGUAUUUAGUUUUUUGCCUAAAAAAAAGAAAACCAAAGAAUCCAGCACACUGUCCAUCACUAGAACUCAUUUUAUUAACCAACGUAAUGGACAAACUGUUUGUCUGUAUGAAUUUUGCCUGAUGAAGGUCUGAGGACCGAAAUGUUCUGUUAAUAAAGUGAGUUGAAGUGAUGGACAAAGUGCGGGAUUCUUUGGUUUUCUUUUCAAGUCAAGAGUUUUUGAUCCUACGCACCUGUCACUAAGACUUUAUCGUGUGCAAGAAUGUUUUUGUAAUUACCUAAAGCAACCCAAUUUAGUCAAAACAUAUCAGAAACAGCCUAGAAAAACCCAACAUGUGUAAUCGUAGAAUGUCAUUUCAUGUCAAAUACAGACAACAUGACCAUCACACCUGCGCACUUUCACAGAAACAUGAUUCCACCCCACCCCCCCACCCCACCCCCCAGCUAGCUACCUCAAUCAUUCCAAAUGCAAGCCAGCUGGCCAACAAACUUAACAUUAAUGCAAGCUAAUAGUGGCUGACCAGAGGUGGAAGAAGUAUUUAGAUCCUUUACUUAAUUAAAAGUACUAAUAAUACCACAAAGUAAAAAUACUCCACUACAGUACAAGUAAAAGUCCUCCUGCAUUCAAACUUUACUUCAGUAGAAGUAUAUCAAUUGCGUUAUCAGCAAAAUGUAGGUAAAGUAUUUAAACAGUACUCAUAGUGUUGCAUUUUACUGCUGUAGAUGUUUAAGGUUGUGCUCAUUUUAACUACUUUAUAUACUGUUGGGUAGUUUAAUCUACAUUAAUGCAUCAUGGUCUUUAAGAUCAGCAUGUGUGUGUAGCAUCGCUAUCCUGUGAGAACCACAUAUCAACUUUUAAUGAGGUCAGAAAAACAGCCUGUUUUCAGCUUUGUGAUGAUACAUUUUCCAAGAGAGUUUGUAAUAGUUUAUUUAAUUUAAAAAGUUGAAUAAUUUCCUCAACCCAUAAAAGAACACUUAGUUGUACAAACAUUCACAUUCAAAAUCACCAAAUUUGGCGAUACAUGUUUUUCACUCAUUCACUGGGCAAGAAGUGGAUGAAAAAAAUGUAAUCUGAAAAGUAACUAACUGUGUAAAGUAUGUUGUUUAACAGACAUAAACAGCUGUUAUAUGGUGUAUAUAUAUAUAUAUAUAUAUAUAUAUAUAUAUAUAUAUAUGGUGGAUACUUGAAUGGAGGCCGAAGGCGGCAGGGCUUGAACACUGGUAGCUACUGCCCUGACCAAACACAAAGACAAUAUGUUCAGGAGCUUCAUGGAAACAUCCCACCUCAAGACAGAAACUAAAGCAUGUCAUCUGCAAAUGUUUGCUCCGAUAGCUUUUAUGGUGUUGCCAUGCCAUUGCCAAAUCUGCCCUUUGACUCAUCGAAUCACACAAUCCCAUAAUGAGUUCCUGUAAAAUUUCCUACUAAUGAAUCAUUUCUUCUGCAUUUUGAAUGAUCUCUUGCAACUUGUGUCAUAAAGGGGAUUGAUGAUGUAUUAACGCUACUUGAGUUUGCUGGAAUGUAGCCACAAUAUUGCUCAGCUUGACAAAGCUCCCCUGUCAUUCAGUUUUCAUACUUUUGUUUUCAAAAUAGCUCAGGAAAAUAAUCACUUUCUUCAUGGUGUUCCUGCUUGCAUGAAAGUGUAGCUUUGUUCAAAGGGUAUUUAUUUGGAAUAAAUAUAUAAAUAUGAGUAUGAAUAUAUAAAUAUAUAAAUUUGGAAAUAAAAAAAUAAUAAAAAUUAUAUAUAUAUAAAUCUUAUUGGCUGAUAAUACCAGCUUUAUUGAUGAGCUCAAUUGACACAAUGUGAGUAAUACAAAAAAACAGCCAGCUCUUAUCUUACACACACAGACAUCAUACACACUCUGCUGGAAUCAACGUAACUUACUCCUUCCAGUGAUAGUGGUAUCUAUGAUGUCCUUUGUGGGAAAACAUCCAUAAAACCUCUUAAAAUCCUUUAAAAAAAGAUUUUCCUUAUUACUAAAUGUCGGGUACUUAUCAAAGCCAAACUAUUUAAAUUUCCGGAAUACUUUUUUAUACCCAACAAACUGUCUCAUGACAUAUAUAGUCCCGCUGACAUGCCAAAUGAUGACAUUUUUAAGUAGUCUAACUUGUUCUGAAAACAAUAUAUGAUAUGCCCAGCUAAAACAUGUAGUAACUAUGCCAUAAGCCCAUAAAUAAAGGGUGUGAAAACUGAGCUAAGACAGCCAAAGGUUCAACGUGUACAGUGGAGGCUUUCCAGUUUAUAAUCCUUAAAAGUGACCCAAUUUGAAAGACUUUAGCAGCUGGUGAGGUAAUUUGCAAUAACUCCAAACAAAGUCUCAUUUAAACACUGUGGUCAAACUCCUACAACAAGGUGAUUUAAUACUGAAAUAGGUUGGGUCUGUCACCUGCUAAUACAACCUAGUGAGACAACGUAGGAGCAGAACAUCAUUUCCUUUGGUGAGAUGACAGAAGACGCACAAGUGUACAGUGUACAGCUCAUUAGUCAGACCAGCAUCAAUGGAUGAACAGCAGCUCCUGUGCGGCGGUAGUGGUUCCCCCAGGGUCAGAGGCAGCCAUUUUGGCUCUAUGUGUUCAAACAGGGUUGGCCAAGUACCUCUAUCACCGGGAACAGCAGAAGCAAGGACGUUCUACUGGGCUGUGGGAAAAAGUAUUUUCUCAAAAUCUGUGGACAGAUUUAGAUGGAAAUUAGUUAAACAGAGGGAACUAUGCAGAAAGAUGGAAAUGCCUUUAAAGGUGACAGAAGUACUUUGGGUGGACUGAAAGUUAGCAGGUACUGGACAGUGUGUUAUUACAAAAAAACUGUUGAUUGUUAGAAUAUCUGGAUUUGGAUUGUGCUGGUACUUCUCAUGUGUCUUCUCAUGUUUUUAUUAUGCAUAUCAUGUGAGCAUUAAUGUUCAUUGUUUGAUGCUGUUUUUUUUAUUUUAAUUGCUCUGUAUUAAUUGGUUUUUGUAAGACCCUGUGGGCCCACCAAAAUUGUUUGAAACUGUGCAGGUAUGGGUGGAUUACUGAACAGGCCUACCGGCCCAGGGGUCCAAGGGUUUAGGGGACCCCUGUUCAAUCAAAUGACUACAAAGAAAAACAAAAUGACCACAAAAAGAUGCAGAACGACCACAGAGACACACAAAACGACGACAAAGACACGCAAAACGACAACAAAUACUCACAAAAGGACUACAGAGAGACUCAAAUAAACUACAAGAGACAGGAAAUGACUACAAGGAGACGCAAAACAGACUCAAAACUACUCCAAACAGAGAAAAAAAAUGGCCACUCUGUAGUCAUUUUGUGUCUCUUUCUGUCUGGCUGUCUUGCUCCUUUGUAAGAGGGGUGGAGAGCCUUUUACAUGUCUAUGCCCAAGGGCCCAUUGUCUCAUAACCAAUCCUUGUGUGCAGGUUUUUUUAUUUUGUGGCUGACAUACAGUAGAGCUAUGACGAACAUCAAACCAAAAUAUUCCCAUUGAUAGCUUGUUCCCCAUAAAAAAAAGUCUUACAAAUGCUCUGUAAAUGACCCUGUAACCCAUCCCAAAUUAUGUUUCUAAAUGGUUCAUAAUGUUGCCACUGGAAAUUUAUGCAAGAUGUGUUGGUACUGCUGCUCUACAUAGUUUAGCCAAGAUAGAUUUUGGUUGAUAUGCACAGUAAAACUUUCCCUUAACUGUGAUUAUUUUCGCAUUAUUAUUGUGCACUCUCUAGAAGUCCGCAGGAAAGGCCCUUUGCGCACAGUCCUAGGUACUCACAGACUUGAGAACGUGCCCGUUAAGUUAUCCACUCUGCAAGUGUGGGGAAGUCCAGAAAUCUGAAUCCAGAUUUCAAGGUCAAGGUCUGGUAGCUCAUUGGAUAAUCCUUCUGUUUUCUACAGAGCAAGACAAAAUGGUGUCAGCCCACUUUUUUUUUCUUUGUAUUUCAAAGUGAAUCUGCAAUACAUUCAGUAUUUAUUAUUUUACUGUGUCUAAGGUCAUGCAGUUUAUGAAAAGCAGACAUAAUCAUAUUUUGACAAUUCAUAUAUCCCCCGCCUGGUUACAUCUAAAGUUUGGUUUGCACUACAUUGUGCACUGAGGGGACCAAAAAGGUUACUAUUUGGUAUCCAUUCUCUGUUCAAAAUUACUGUAUGUUGUCACAUUCCACAGCAGAAAAAAAGAAAUGUUACAGUUUGUUUGUUUUUCUUUGGUUUGUUUUUUCAUUAUGAUUUUUUCAGACAUACACACUAUUCUCUGUGUCAGUCUGGGGGAGUCUUAACAAAUAGCAGGGAGCCAAAAAUCAAUUAGGAAACAGGAUCUAUCUCAGGAAUACACUAUCAAAAAUCUGAGAGGUGAAAUAUUGAGAUGUUAUGAUGCUGCAGUAUGUAUUUUCAGGAAAGUUUCAAGUUUCAAAUAAUUGUUUCAAAUGAACAUUAUGAUCAUUCCAAUGAGUAAACCUGGAUCCCUACAAUGCUAUUUGUAGCCUGGAAGUAGAUUUUUCUGUUCUGUUGGUGUAAACUGUGUCCAACACUAGGUCUCAUUGCUUCCAGGGUGUUCUUUUUUUAUGUGGUACUGUAUGUGAUGAGAUUAGGAAUCGGUCCUGAUAUUUUAUAUCACUUGUCUUCCUAAAGGUGUAAAGUACAGCUUCAGAAAUUUCCAAAAUAAUAAUAGCCCACCAUGUACUGUACUGUAGAUAUAUCAAGGUGAACACGACUUAUUUUCAGUGUCAUAAAUUUUGGUUUAUAUUACUUUCAGCAUAGUUUUUGGUUUACAUAUCAUAUAUUUUGUAUUUUUUAACACAUGCAAUUAUGAUGAAUUAUGAUCAUGAAGAUUAUAACAAUGAAAAUGACAAAUGCUUUUGUAUUCAAGCAUGCAGUGAACAUAAAGAGAGCCUCUGCACGCACCAGUUGGGCUACAGGCUUCAUGUCAUUGUGCUGUUGGAGAACAAUUGGUCAUGUGUCUUAAAAGUGGUUUGUGGGGUUUAGUCAGGGGGGCAAAUGUGGCCAUUGUAGAUAUCCAAGAGAAUCAAGCUUUAGGUUACAGACUUUUAACCUGGUUAUAUACUUGUCACAGGACAAUGAAUGCAUACAAGGGGAUUUUUACAAUGUCCCUAACCCCAAACUGUAGAUGUAAAACUAAAAAGUCUACCAAUCAAAAGUAAUGUUAAAGGGGGAGCCAACAAUGUAAAUAGACAAUGCCAAUCAGAAUUGCCCAUAAAGUUGUUCUGUGUAUUCUUGCCUAAAGGCUGUGCAGGUGAGGGGUUUUACAAAAACAAAUGCAAGUGAAGGUUAUCAAAUGUAAUGUAGCAUAUUAUUCUGAGAGACAGAUAAAAAAACAAAAGGUCAAAUUUGAAGCCGCUGAGGCCAAGAUAUUCUGACUUUUAGUCCCUAGCAUGCCUCAAGCUCCAAAAAGGGUGGAUACAAUUCCCAUAAUGCAACUUGACAGUGUUUGUCAUUAGACCCUUGAUGCCUGGUGAACACCCACAUCUUUCAUACUCCAUGCCAGCAGUUUGCAACAUAGGCUCGGUUGACAGCAGUCAUUGUCAAACAUUUUGGUUUGUAGCCAAAUGUAAUGUAGAUUAAUCCUGUUAAAAAUAGGUUGAUUGGUUAAAACCCUGAUUGUCCAACCAGAAACUGUCCUGGAUCUAUGUCUAGCAGCCUUUGUGAUCGAAAAUUCUGUAGUCCUCGUGAAAUAAAUACAUGCAGCAGGUGCACAAUUACAUAAGUUUGACAUGAGUAGAGAUCAUAUCGUUGUGUCUAGAGGCUGCAAAAGCUCAUUAUUUCACAACAAAAAAGCACACAAGUACAAAAAUUACAAAAUGGUUUAUUGACAUUGAAGGGUUGAAAAAUAUUUUUCAUCUUCAAUCCUCUGGCGUCCCGCAGAAAUGACCUUUGUAACAUGCUCAGUUUGAGAAAACUUAGCUGUCAGACCAAAGGUAGUCGAUUGUAUGAAAAAGAAAUGCUUCAAGGGUUCAUAGGAUAUGAGUACAGCCUUGCAUUACAAUGAGAUCCAGCGCACCACCACCACCCCUCUCCCUUCAUACAUUUCCCAAGGCAUGUUGCUUCAGAAACCAACCUAAAUAAGACAUAAUAGAUCUUGUAGAUCAGUAGCAGAAGUAGUGAUGGCUGUGCAGUUCUAGAAAGACAAAUAGAAACUUUGAUUAUUCCACUGCAGUGUAGUGGGGACAGAGCAAUAAUGGCAUAAGCUCUUUUUUAGGGACUCUGGUUUUGGUUAUGUGUGCAUACAAGUGUGUGUAAGAAUGUUUGUCUGUAUAAAUGACUUGUGUGUAAGAGAGGAAGCAUGCUGUACAGACUGUGCUAACCCACGCCCCUGUCAGAAGACUGACAGCUGCGCUAACCAAUAGUGCAACUUUACUUGAAAUCCAAAUGACGACUAAACAUAUCAGGACAGAACGCAGAGUGGCUCUGCCCACUGUCACACCCCACACCUUUCUUUAUUGCUGAUUGGAGUUUUAAAGGUCUAUAUAAAGAGUACGGUCUAGACCUGGUCUAUAGGAAAAGUGCAAUGAGCUAACUUCUGUUAUGAAUUGGCGCUAUAUAAAUAAAUUUUGAAAUGAUAUACUAGUAUUUCAAAAAGCCAGAAUUUGAUUGGUAGGUGGUAAAUCAAACGGGCAGAAAUGAUUGCUGGACAGCUCUCUCUGGGUUACACCCCAAAUCAGUGAUUUCACAGUGGGGUUUUUUCUUUGACAGCAGAAGAAAAGCACCUGGUAGAUUUGGGUGUAGUCAGAAGUGAAACCUGCAAAAGUUUGAACCCAUGCAGAGCAGCAGUUUACUGCCCCAUGGAUUUACCAUUUAAACUUGAAUGGACACAGCUAAACUCAAAUACAUUUUUAUUUGUUUUUUUACUAAUUAAUUACUCUGUAUUUUAUAGUUUUAGGCAAGCUAACUAGUGUAGGCUAGUGGAGCUAGGCCAAAACUAGCUAACCUAGACCUUUGACAAAAUGCUCUUUACUCAAGAUUUACUGACCUUCAGCCGCAUCUUAUGGUCUUCUGAAAAGCGAAAUUAACUAAAAGUUAAAAUUGUCUUGGCUAAACUAGUUAGCUAUCCUAAAAUCAUAAAUAAUAUGUUACAGCCCCCUGUAUAGCUAAUAUGUGGACUUUCAGUUAAAUUUACCAAGGCUAGCUAGGGUUGGCCUAGCUCUACUAGCCUACACAGUCUGUGUAAACUAGUUAGCUAGUCUAAAAUCAUAAAUAACAUCUCAUGGUCCUCAGAAAAAUGAAUAAGUGGACCUUCAGUUAAAUUUACCUAGGGUAGCUAGUUUUGACCCAGCUUUACUAGCCUAAAUUGUCCGGAUAAACAAGUUAGCUAGCCUAAAAUCAUAAAUAAAAUCUCUCUAGUAAAGCUAGCAGGCCUUUAUAAUAUUUUGUCAAAAUACAAUGCUCAACCUAGAUAAUGCUUUGUUUCAUUUUGUAGCUAGCAAGUUGGGCUUUAAAACUCCAGUCUGCGUUUCUUGCAGCAACCUCUCUUUGUCUCCAUCCCAUGCUCCUCACCUCUCCUCUCUCUCUGUCUUUUCCUGCUUUUCUAUCCCUCUCUCCUCCUCCUUCAGUUAUUUUGAGGAAGAAGCUUCUUUUUGCAUCCCUUGUUCUUGUGUUUUUCGAUCCUAUAUUUUUGGAGAUGAAUUCUAAAUGCAUGCCUGGGAAACUUUAAAAUGAUGACUUUAACUUAAUUGCGAAUGUGAAGGGAAGCCUCUCCUCCGUCGAAAAAAAGCAAAGGUUCUCGACUUCCCCUCAAUGUUACAAUACAAUGUGGGACAUAAACACAAAUUUCUCUUUUAACUUUUUUUUUACCGUAAUCGUUCAUUCCCUUUUUUAUUCUUGUGCUUUUCAUACUAUAAUACAGGCAUGGGCAUUUCUCACUGGCACAGUGACUUUUCACAGAGCAGCAGAGUGUGAUGUGAUCACUCUCUGGAGGCAAAACAGGCUUAGUUUAAGUCCAAUCAUGGUUUUCCAGAAACUUCCCAGCACCAGUGUUGAGGGUUUGGUGCUUGUUUGGGAAAUCAAGCACAGGGAUUGUUCUUUUUUGUCACCAUUUCAGAACAUAUCCUAAGGAUAUUCUUGGGUGAUCUUUCUCUUUACUUUUGCCACUGCUUUCACAACUUUUCACUAAAUCGUGGCUGCUGAGGUCACAGAAAACUUUCGUUUUUCAUUGUGAGACAAGCUACAUACCAAUUACCUGCCUCUCUACCUGUCUGUUCAGGUCAAAUUUUUUUUGUUCUCAUCUUGUGCUAAUUUUGCUGUGCCUUCUCUUGUUCAUUUUCCAAAUGCUGCAGAUUUUCAUAAACAGAAAAGUACAUUGUGUCGUAAAUCCAGAUGCAGCUAUUUACUCUAUAUUGGAUUUUGAUAGACACUCUGAGGUUCAUAUCAAUGUUGACUGAUUUAAUUGAUUAGUCAGUUGAUCAAUUGAUUGGUUGAUGGUCUCACAACAUGGAUAAAUAGUUGGUAUGUGUCCACUGGAAAGAGCCAGAGAAAAAAAGAAGCAUGAUAGAGACAGAAAGACGAGAGGCUUCCCUCCAUUAAUGGGGAACGGGGGUUUAUGCUUUAUAAAGACUGAUGCUGGGUAUAAUUGUAUUGUCACUACACUUGAGAGAGAAAAAUAAAAUAAAAAGAAUCAAGAACUGUAUAAAAUAUA